rnacentral:rRNA from 1 species
GCUUAUGGCCAUACCACCCUGAGAACGCCCGAUCUCGUCUGAUCUCGGAAGCUAAGCAGAGUCGGGCCUGGUUAGUGUUUGGAUGGGAGACCGCCUGGGAAUACCAGGUGCUGUAAGCU